AGUCUUUUCAUAUUUUCACCGGCCUGUUGGUUUUAACUGAUCAAAAGUCAUCAAGCCACCUGUUUUUCACUGCAAAUAUCAAAUUCAUUUCAAUACAAUAGAAAAAAUGAUGUGAAUUAGUUUGCAUAGAAAAAAACCUGAGACUAGAACUGGUAAAAAUUUCUGUGCAUUCACAAUUGUGGGGAACUGAAAAAAUAGAGAAUCCAAAAUGGGGAGAAUCCGAUAUAGACUAUGUUAAAUCUAAUAAAUUUAUACUCCAACCCAUU